rnacentral:tRNA from 1 species
GGAGAGGUGCCAGAGUGGUUGAAUGGGCUCGACUCGAAAUCGAGUAAGGGGGUGAUGAACCUUCUUCGUGGGUUCAAAUCCCACCCUCUCCUCCA